rnacentral:rRNA from 1 species
GUGGGGAAUCUUGCGCAAUGGGCGAAAGCCUGACGCAGCCAUGCCGCGUGAAUGAUGAAGGUCUUAGGAUUGUAAAAUUCUUUCACCGGGGACGAUAAUGACGGUACCCGGAGAAGAAGCUCCGGCUAACUUCGUGCCAGCAGCCGCGGUAAUACGAAGGGGGCUAGCGUUGCUCGGAAUUACUGGGCGUAAAGGGCGCGUAGGCGGACAGCUUAGUCAGAGGUGAAAGCCCAGGGCUCAACCUUGGAAUUGCCUUUGAUACUGGCUGUCUUGAGUUUGGGAGAGGUGAGUGGAACUCCGAGUGUAGAGGUGAAAUUCGUAGAUAUUCGGAAGAACACCAGUGGCGAAGGCGACUCACUGGCCCAAUACUGACGCUGAGGUGCGAAAGCGUGGGGAGCAAACAGGAUUAGAAACCCCGGUAGUCC